ensembl:snRNA U6 U6 spliceosomal RNA
GUGCUCACUUCUGCAGCGCAUAUACUCAAGUUGGAGCGAUAUAGAGAAGAUUAGCACAGCCCCUGUGAAAGAUGACAUACACAUUCAUGAAGUAAAACCCGAGGUC